UGAACAUUUGUAAUCCCUGGUAAAUAGGAAAUAGAUGAGCAUCUGAAAUGAUAGAAGCAGCCUCCUCCUGUCCCUUGGCAACCAUGAAUUUCAGACCAUGCAGGAUGAUGGUUCCUUUUCAAAGCAGAACUGAAGGUAUGUCAGCAGUCUGGGUGCAUAAAUAAUGCUGCAGCCAUUAGUAAGCCCAGUCACUGUAUUGUCUGUGCUAGAACCCUGCCUCCUGGGGAUGGAUCCUAGCCAAAGUUAAAGCAACGUCCUCUGCUGAAAUCUACUGUCAAGCUAUUUUCAUUGAGGGAAACCCCUGCUUCUUUUUUGGAUGGGAUGAAAUACUGUUAACCACAACUACAGAAUUUAGCAGGUGGAAGAGACUGUGCAGCUGAUGAAGAACUCUUACCUGCGCUGAAGUGUUCCUGGUUCACUAAAGCUGGCAUGGAGAGAGAACUGAGACAGUCCAAUUCACUCUAAAAGUUUGAGAAAUAUUCCAGAGAAGUAGCACUGCCAUCGUAGGUAGAAGAGUAUACUCACCUUUUUGGCCUCCAUGAGAAGUGGGCAAGUACUGUAUCAUCUAAACUACGAACAGAAAGAGAGUGUUGCUGUAUAGAAAAAAAAAUCAGUUGGAAUUUCUCAUCAAAAAAGAGCUCAACAAAGUGUUUGCCAGUCCAAGCAUGGUACCAUGGAAAGUGGCCAGGAUAUAGCA